rnacentral:rRNA from 1 species
UAAAAGUGGCGACCGGGUGAGUAACACGUGACUAACCUACCUUCGAUGGGGGAUAACAUCGGGAAACCGAUGCUAAUACCGCAUAACAUCGCAAGAUCAAAGCAGCAAUGCGCUUGAAGAGGGGGUCGCGGCUGAUUAGCUAGUUGGUAGGGUAAUGGCCUACCAAGGCUUAGAUCGGUAGCCGGCCUGAGAGGGCGCACGGCCACACUGGAACUGAAACACGGUCCAG